rnacentral:rRNA from 1 species
AGCGAACGCUGGCGGCAGGCUUAACACAUGCAAGUCGAGCGGGCGUAGCAAUACGUCAGCGGCAGACGGGUGAGUAACGCGUGAGAACGUACCUUUUGGUUCGGAACAACACAGGGAAACUUGUGCUAAUACCGGAUAAGCCCUGACGGGGAAAGAUUUAUCGCCGAAAGAUCGGCCCGCGUCUGAUUAGCUAGUUGGUGAGGUAACGGCUCACCAAGGCGACGAUCAGUAGCUGGUCUGAGAGGAUGAUCCGCCACAUUGGGACUGAGACACGGCCCAAACUCCUACGGGAGGCAGCAGUGGGGAAUAUUGGACAAUGGGCGCAAGCCUGAUCCAGCCAUGCCGCGUGAGUGAUGAAGGCUCUAGGGUUGUAAAGCUCUUUUGUGCGGGAAGAUAAUGACGGUACCGCAAGAAUAAGCCCCGGCUAACUUCGUGCCAGCCGCCGCGGUAACAC